rnacentral:rRNA from 1 species
GAUGAACGCUAGCGGCAGGCUUAACACAUGCAAGUCGAGGGGUAGAGGUUGCUUGCAACCUUGAGACCGGCGCACGGGUGCGUAACGCGUAUGCAACCUACCUUUUACAGAGGGAUAGCCCAGAGAAAUUUGGAUUAAUACCUCAUAGUAUAUAACCUUCGCAUGUUGGUUAUAUUAAAGUUUCAACGGUAAAAGAUGGGCAUGCGUCCUAUUAGCUAGAUGGUAAGGUAACGGCUCACCAUGGCAACGAUAGGUAGGGGUCCUGAGAGGGAGAUCCCCCACACUGGUACUGAGACACGGACCAGACUCCUACGGGAGGCAGCAGUGAGGAAUAUUGGACAAUGGGCGCAAGCCUGAUCCAGCCAUGCCGCGUGCAGGAAGAAGCAUCUAUGGUGUGUAAACUGCUUUUGUACAGGAAGAAACACCCCGACGUGUCGGGACUUGACGGUACUGUAAGAAUAAGGAUCGGCUAACUCCGUGCCAGCCGCCGCCGUAAGAC